rnacentral:rRNA from 2 species
UUGCAUCAUGAUUACAUUUGAGUGAGUGGCGAACUGGUGAGUAACACGUGGGAAACCUGCCCAGAAGCGGGGGAUAACACCUGGAAACAGAUGCUAAUACCGCAUAACAACUUGGACCGCAUGGUCCGAGUUUGAAAGAUGGCUUCGGCUAUCACUUUUGGAUGGUCCCGCGGCGUAUUAGCUAGAUGGUGGGGUAACGGCUCACCAUGGCAAUGAUACGUAGCCGACCUGAGAGGGUAAUCGGCCACAUUGGGACUGAGACACGGCCCAAACUCCUACGGGAGGCAGCAGUAGGGAAUCUUCCACAAUGGACGAAAGUCUGAUGGAGCAACGCCGCGUGAGUGAAGAAGGGUUUCGGCUCGUAAAACUCUGUUGUUAAAGAAGAACAUAUCUGAGAGUAACUGUUCAGGUAUUGACGGUAUUUAACCAGAAAGCCACGGCUAACUACGUGCCAGCAGCCGCGGUAAUACGUAGGUGGCAAGCGUUGUCCGGAUUUAUUGGGCGUAAAGCGAGCGCAGGCGGUUUUUUAAGUCUGAUGUGAAAGCCUUCGGCUCAACCGAAGAAGUGCAUCGGAAACUGGGAAACUUGAGUGCAGAAGAGGACAGUGGAACUCCAUGUGUAGCGGUGAAAUGCGUAGAUAUAUGGAA